rnacentral:lncRNA from 1 species
GGUCCUUCAGGCAACUCUUUGAGAAUUUUGCACCAACAGAAAAGGAGAGAAGAAAGGAGAAAGUGGAAGGGAGUGUUUAUAUUGAAAUCUUUAUUUAGUUCCAACAGCCUAGAGCAAAGCAUCAAAACACAGAGCGCCUCAUACAAGCCAAGACAGGGAAUAGAAUUUCCAUUUGAUUCCAGAUGAGAACUAGGUCUUGUUAUAAGGGGGUUGGGUGACAAAGCUAAAUGUAAUUUAAAUUUCUACUCCAAUCUAUUUUUAAUUAUUCAUGUGUAGAUUCUUUUGUAGGGUUAACAAGGAAUUUGCCAGGAGCCAGGCCACAAAGGCUUGAGUCGUAGUUUUCCAGCAGACAUCCUGAAAAUACACUGUCACAGGCAAUCAGUGUCCUUGGGGAGGUGGCCUGUUAGCAGGGUGUUUACUAAUUGGGAUCAUUCCACAGCAGAUAAUUGUUUGUGGCACCCACGCUGAUUGGACCCACAGUAUCUUCCCAUCCUGCAAAUGGCCUGUGACAGUUUUGAUGAAUUUGAAGUUUGGCAUCUGAAUAAAUUCAAGGAAGGAGAGAAGAAAUGCUUCCACUGGAAAAUACACGUAGAAGAGCAGAGCUGUGCCCUGGGUCAGCCCCCAAAAAUGGAGACACAUGAGCACACAGAGAAAGGCCACUGAUCCUCUCUGCCCAGCCCAGUGUGAGAGGUGUCCCAUAGAAGGAGAGGUGCUCCAGUUGGUCCCAGUGCAUCAACCAGGAAAGGCCUGAACUUCAGAUGUUCUGUCUGAAUGGGGGAGACACAACCAGCAUCCCAAGAGCGCCUGUAAACAUCCCAGAAAACAGGAUAUGGAGCAGACUGUUUAGGAGCAAACACGGGUGACUCGGUGAGACUACCCACCACCAGCCAAAUGAGCCUGAACUUUGAAGUUAAAUGGUCUGAAUUCCAGAGAGUCCAAACAUUUUACACUCUGAAGUGAAAUGCCAAGUUCAAGGCGUAUAGGAGGUGCAGUGUUGGAUGAAGUGCUCUCCACAUAGUGGUGACCUCUUGUUGCUGGGUCAUCCAAGGACAUUUUCCAUGCUAAAUUCAAGUUUCUGACGGUGCACACCAUUAAUAGUCAUCAAAGUGGUGGAAGAGUUUGAUCCUGCGAGGACCUCUCCGAAACUUAAAGGAGGAGAAUAAAGAGGUCUUUUAACAGGGGGUGGAAUUCA